UUAAGUACUUGGAAAGAACAAAGAAUAUUUUCAUAUGAAACAUGGAUUGAUUUUAUCUAAUUAAAUAAUGGGGAAACUGAUUUCUGAUAUCAGUAUCUUGUUUAAUUACUGACUCGCUCAAGGGUGGCCUCUUCUCAGGAAGGUUACCACACAUUUCGUGGGGGAUUCUGGAACUACUUUAGCCUGGGAAUGGACGCUCAAGUAUCUUAUGCAUUUCGCUCGGAGCGGAAGUUGGAUCCUGAAAAAUUCAAAAAUCAGAUAGUUAAUCAGGGAUAGUGUGCUUUGGCUGAAGUAAGGCAGUUCACUAGCCGACUUCAUUGAUUUAUCAGUCUAAAGAGGUAGUUAUGGGUGGAAGAUAGAUAAUUAUCAUUUUUUUUUUCUUAAUGGAAACUAUGAAAGAAUAAUAUCAUGCACGUUGUUUUAUUAUUAUUAUUAUUAUUUUUUUUUUAUAAUCUUAUCGUAGAUGGAACUGGAAGACGGUUGUAUUAAGUAAUUCUUGGUAGUUAUUUGCUUUGCUCUGUUUGUAAAUCUUGUAACG